rnacentral:rRNA from 1 species
GAGUUCAAUAGUACGUGAAACCGUUCAGGGGUAAACCUGAGAAGCCCGAAAGGUCGAAAGAGGAGAUUCAGCGUGUCUCGAUGGUGGCGCUGGGCGGUCGCGAGACGGAGGGCGUACGCGUCUUCCGCUCCUUCCGUUCUUCGAACCGCCGUCGAACGCGUGCACUUCUCCUCCUGUAGGACGUUGCGAUCCGUUGGGUGCCGGUCUAAGGCCCGCGGUGGAGCCCGUUCGGACGGUUCGCCGUUCCGGACGAACCCGUGGUGUUUCCCGAUCGGCUCGCUCGACGGUAUACAUACGGCGCGGGGCCGCUACAUAUUCAGUUAGCGUCCGACCCGCGGCAAGCGCGCUCGUCGUGAUGGUGAUCGGACCUGGUGCCGGUCCUGUCCCCGAGUGGCUGUUCGCUGCGGAGUUCUCGGACAGACCUCGUUGAAACGCCGAUCUGCGACGCUAUAGCUUUGGGUACUUUCAGGACCCGUCUUGAAACACGGACCAAGGAGUCUAGCAUGUGCGCGAGUCAUUGGGACAUGACUAAACCUAAAGGCGCAAUGAAAGUGAAAGUCCGCCUCGCGCGGACCUAGGGAGGAUGGGUGGCAGUUACGGCUGCCGCUCCGCACUCCCGGGGCGUCUCGUUCUCAUUGCGAGAAGAGGCGCACCAACAGCGUACACGCUGGGACCCGAAAGAUGGUGAACUAUGCCUGGUCAGGACGAAGUCAGGGGAAACCCUGAUGGAGGUCCGUAGCGAUUCUGACGUGCAAAUCGAUCGUCGGAACUGGGUAUAGGGGCGAAAGACUAAUCGAACCAU